GACGAACGCUGGCGGCGUGCCUAAUACAUGCAAGUAGAACGCUGAAGGAGGAGCUUGCUUCUCCGGAUGAGUUGCGAACGGGUGAGUAACGCGUAGGUAACCUGCCUGGUAGCGGGGGAUAACUAUUGGAAACGAUAGCUAAUACCGCAUAAGAGUAGAUGUCGCAUGACAUUUGCUUAAAAGGUGCAACUGCACCACUACCAGAUGGACCUGCGUUGUAUUAGCUAGUUGGUGAGGUAACGGCUCACCAAGGCAACGAUACAUAGCCGACCUGAGAGGGUGAUCCGCCACACUGGGACGGGGACACGGCCCAGACUCCUACGGGAGGCAGCAGUAGGGAAUCUUCGGCAAUGGACGGAAGUCUGACCGAGCAACGCCGCGGGAGUGAAGAAGGGUGUCGGAUCGUAAAGCUCUGUUGUAAGAGAAGAACGAGUGUGAGAGUGGAAAGUUCACACUGUGACGGUAUCUUACCAGAAAGGGACGGCUAACUACGUG
rnacentral:rRNA from 1 species